ACGUGAUGCACGCACGCGCAGAGUUUGUUGUUCGCGAUUUUUCGGCGCAAUGAGGAUACUGCGGGGUUUGCUGUGUGACUGACUUAAGGAUUGAAUGGUAAAAGAGGAAGGAGCCAGAGCAAACUGGUAACUGAAGAGCCAUAGACAACAGGUGCUCAGACCUGCAACGUGUCUUCCAGGUGCAGCGACUGGCAACCUUGUGAUGUCGACAAAAAUCCAGGAAGUUACUGCGCCCUUCAAACCUCUAAUCUAAUUCUUGGCAAAAAAGCAACAGAUGUGAUGAAGUGAGCUUCGACUGAUGUUUCCUGAAAGUGGCAACACGUGUCCCUCUUACCCGGCUGGUGCAGUCCUCUCGUCUACAGAUGUGUCGCUUGAUGUACCCAUCGAAUGGCACACUGCGACUUAAUAAAAUAUCACUCCUGCUUUGACAGGGAAGCCUU